rnacentral:lncRNA from 1 species
UAGACACCUUGUUGAUGGAUUAACCGCCACCAAAGAUCAGUCUAUUGGGGUUAUCACCCUGCAAGGCUGCUUCCUCUGAUUGUCAAACCCAGUGCCGCUGGUAGCUGAGUGCAACUAUGAGACCACUGCCACCCAAGUCCUCCAUGAAAUCAAGAAGGCCAUUCCGCUGUAGGGCCUUCUAUCACUAGCCCCAAUCUUCACAAAUAGCAAUUCAAGCAUUUUUCUAAGAUGCUGGUUCUUCAUCAGUGUAUGACUCAAGGCUUGGUGAAAGGAGUUUCUUUUUGGUCCUCUCAGAAAAUGAAUUUCGGGAGUAGGAACCCAUUCAUGGUCCAUCUUGAUAGAUUCCAAUAGGCAGAGCCCCCAUGGUAAUUGUAUCCCUGGAACCAUGAUAUAUAUAUACACAGCCUGCAGGGAGGCAAGAAGGAGAUUUGACUACAGAAGAGAAAUCAAUGUGAUGACUGCAGCAAAGAACAGAGCGAUGCGACCACAAGCCAAGGAAUGCCAGCAGUCACCAGAAGCUGGAAGAGGCAAGAAACGGACUCUCUCCUGGAGCCUCCAGAAGGAAUCAGUCCUGCUAGCAUCUUGAUUUU